UAGGGAAUAUUGGACAAUGGGCGCAAGCCUGAUCCAGCCAUGCCGCGUGAGUGACGAAGGCCUUCGGGUUGUAAAGCUCUUUUGGCGGGGACGAUAAUGACGGUACCCGCAGAAUAAGCUCCGGCUAACUUCGUGCCAGCAGCCGCGGUAAUACGAAGGGAGCUAGCGUUGUUCGGAAUCACUGGGCGUAAAGCGCACGUAGGCGGAUGUGCCAGUCAGGGGUGAAAUCCCGGAGCUCAACUCCGGAACUGCCUCUGAUACAGCACGUCUUGAGUCCGGAAGAGGUGGGUGGAAUUCCUAGUGUAGAGGUGAAAUUCGUAGAUAUUAGGAAGAACACCGGUGGCGAAGGCGGCCCACUGGUCCGGUACUGACGCUGAGGUGCGAAAGCGUGGGGAGCAAACA
rnacentral:rRNA from 1 species